rnacentral:misc_RNA from 1 species
UCUCCGUUGGUGAACCAGCGGAGGGAUCAUUACUGGAAUCGCAAGACUCCCAACCCCUGUGAACGUACCGAAACGUUGCCUCGGCGGGCCUCGCGCCCGCCGGCGGCCCGCUACUCUUGCGUUGACGACUGCAUCUCCGAGCAAUUGCAAACGAAUCAAAACUUUCAACAACGGAUCUCUUGGUUCUGGCAUCGAUGAAGAACGCAGC